CAGCCGCCGCGGUAAUACGGAGGGUGCAAGCGUUAAUCGGAAUUACUGGGCGUAAAGCGCACGCAGGCGGUUUGUUAAGUCAGAUGUGAAAUCCCCGAGCUUAACUUGGGAACUGCAUUUGAAACUGGCAAGCUAGAGUCUUGUAGAGGGGGGUAGAAUUCCAGGUGUAGCGGUGAAAUGCGUAGAGAUCUGGAGGAAUACCGGUGGCGAAGGCGGCCCCCUGGACAAAGACUGACGCUCAGGUGCGAAAGCGUGGGGAGCAAACAGGAUUAGAUACCCCCGUAGUCCCUGUUUCUUAUAC
rnacentral:rRNA from 1 species